GUAGGUGAACCUGCGGAAGGAUCAUUAUCAAACGUAUCCACGUUUAUAAACUAACCGUGAACUGUCACAUUACCUUUGGGCUAUGGCCGCUGCCUCCGACACUAUGGGUUCAUUGUAUGGUUUUGGGCCUGUCGGUAGCAAUUAAGGCUGUCUCUCCAGAGUGUAUUAACCAUACAUUUACUAUUAACCACUUGAACUAUAAUUCAUUGCAUUGUUUGAGCUGAUUUGUUUCUUACUCACUAACACUGAG
rnacentral:misc_RNA from 1 species